rnacentral:rRNA from 1 species
AAUAUUGCGAAAUGGGGGGAACCCUGACGCAGCAAGGCCGCGUGAGUGAAUAAGGCAUUCGGUUCGAAAAACUAUUUCAUAAGGGAAAAAGAAGGAGACGGUACACUAUGAGCAAGCUCCGGCUAACUACGUGCCAGGAGCCGCCGUAAUACGUAGGGGGCAACCGUUGCCCGGAAUUACUGCGCGUAAAGGGUGCGUAGGCGGCCUGAUAAGUCAGAUGUGAAAUACCAGGGCUCAACCCUGGGGGUGCAUAUGAAACUGUUGGGCUUGAGUGCAGGAGAGGAAAGUGGAAUUCCUAGUGUAGCGGUGAAAUGCGUAGAGAUUAGGAGGAACACCAGUGGCGAAGGCGACUUUCUGGACUUAUACUGACGCUGAGGAACGAAAGCGUGGGGAGCAAAC